rnacentral:rRNA from 1 species
UCAGCUUGGUAAGGAUACCCCCUGAAUUUAAGCAUAUAAUUAAGGGGAGGAAAAGAAACUAACAAGGAUUCCUUUAGUAACGGCGAGUGAAACAGGAUGAGCUCACCUAUAAUCGGCAAUUUUUUGCCGAGUUGUGGUCUGUAGAAGCAUUGUCGGUCGAGGUUCCGGGCUAAGUCUCUUGGAAAAGAGCAGCUGAGAGGGUGACACUCCCGUUCUUGCCUGGGAUCUGCGAUCAUAGCACAUGCCUUCAACGAGUCGAGUUGCUUGGGAUUGCAGCUCAAAUGCGUGGUAUACUCCAUGUAAAGCUAAAUAUAGGUAGGAAACCGAUAGCGCACAAGUACUGUGAAGGAAAGAUGCAAAGAACUUUGAAAAGAGAGUUAAAGAGUACCUGAAACUGUUGAAAGGGAAGCAAAUGGAAACAGUGUGUUUCCGUACCAUUCUUCCUUCGUGGCUUGCCACGGGGGCGCUGUGGUGCGGGAGUGGUCAGCAUGGGUUUGACUCGGAGCAUAUAGCUAUUCAGGAGGCAUCUGUCUUUUCAGAGAUUACUGUUUAGUGUUGUUCUGGGUUGGAUCGAGGUUAGUAUUUCGUGAUGCUGACGAAAUGUUUCUAUUUACCCCGUCUUGAAACACGGACCAAGGAGUCUAACAUGUUCGCGAGUAUCUGAGUGGCAAACUCAUAUGCGCAAUGAAAGUAACAGUGGUAGGACCUUCUGGGGCACUAUCCGCCGGCAUUGAUCCUUCGGGAGAAAGGUCUGAGUGUGAGCAUACAUGUUGGGACCCGAAAGAUGGUGAACUAUGCCUGAAUAGGGUGAAGCCACCGGAAACGGUGGUGGAGGCUCGUAGCGGUUCUGACGUGCAAAUCGAUCGUCAAAUUUGGGUAUAGGGGCGAAAGACUAAUCGAACCAUCU